AUUGAACGCUGGCGGCAGGCUUAACACAUGCAAGUCGAGCGGAUGAGAGGAGCUUGCUCCUUGAUUCAGCGGCGGACGGGUGAGUAAUGCCUAGGAAUCUGCCUGGUAGCGGGGGACAACAGUUGGAAACGACUGCUAAUACCGCAUACGUCCUACGGGAGAAAGCAGGGGACCUGCGGGCCUUGCGCUAUCAGAUGAGCCUAGGUCGGAUUAGCUAGUUGGUGAGGUAAAGGCUCACCAAGGGGACGAUCCGUAACUGGUCUGAGAGGAUGAUCAGUCACACUGGAACUGGGACACGGUCCAGACUCCUACGGGAGGGAGCAGUGGGGAAUAUUGGACAAUGGGCGAAAGCCUGAUCCAGCCAUGCCGCGUGUGUGAAGAAGGUCUUCGGAUUGUAAAGCACUUUAAGUUGGGAGGAAGGGCAGUAAGUUAAUACCUUGCUGUUUUGACGUUACCGACAGAAUAAGCACCGGCUAACUUCGUGCCAGCAGCCGCCGUAAUAC
rnacentral:rRNA from 1 species